rnacentral:rRNA from 1 species
GACAACCCGAGAGAUCGGCGUCCCCUUCGGGGGACAGGGUGACAGGUGGUGCAUGGUUGUCGUCAGCUCGUGUCGUGAGAUGUUCGGGUUAAGUCCCGCAACGAGCGCAACCCUCGACCUUAGUUGCCAGCAUUCAGUUGGCACUCUAAGGUGACUGCCGGCUAAAAGUCGGAGGAAGGUGGGGAUGACGUCAAAUCAUCAUGCCCCUUAUGACCUGGGCUACACACGUGCUACAAUGGGCGGUACAAAGGGUCGCGAACCCGCGAGGGGGAGCCAAUCCCAAAAAGCCGCUCUCAGUUCGGAUUGCAGGCUGCAACUCGCCUGCAUGAAGCCGGAAUCGCUAGUAAUCGCGGAUCAGCAUGCCGCGGUGAAUACGUUCCCGGGCCUU